ACUUGAACUGGACGAUCUACUGGAUAAGGAACCGGCUGAAAUCGAAUGGAAACUAUUAUUUUUUCUGCUGUCUAUUCAAAUGAGUAAUUAUCCGAGGGGCGAAUUACUCGAGAAAAACUUUCAUGGAGAUGUUUUCCGAGAGAAACCUACCGACUUGAUAUAAAGUAAUUUGACAUUUCAUCUCGGCGUUAUUAAUUUCCACGAAUCGAGGAAUUAAUAACCCGUAAUUAUAAUCAUUUCCUGUGCAAUUAAUUCUCUUGGAAGUUUUUUCAGAGAAUCCACUUUUAUUUAUAAAUUUGCAUUCGAAUAAAUCCAAGACAAAUUGUCUAAAGACUACAGCA